rnacentral:rRNA from 1 species
AGUGAACGCUGGCGGUAGGCCUAACACAUGCAAGUCGAACGGCAGCACAGUAAGAGCUUGCUCUUACGGGUGGCGAGUGGCGGACGGGUGAGGAAUACAUCGGAAUCUACUUUUUCGUGGGGGAUAACGUAGGGAAACUUACGCUAAUACCGCAUACGACCUACGGGUGAAAGCAGGGGAUCUUCGGACCUUGCGCGAUUGAAUGAGCCGAUGUCGGAUUAGCUAGUUGGCGGGGUAAAGGCCCACCAAGGCGACGAUCCGUAGCUGGUCCGAGAGGAUGAUCAGCCACACUGGAACUGAGACACGGUCCAGACUCCUACGGGAGGCAGCAGUGGGGAAUAUUGGACAAUGGGCGCAAGCCUGAUCCAGCCAUACCGCGUGGGUGAAGAAGGCCUUCGGGUUGAAAGCCCUUUUGUUGGGAAAGAAAAGCAGCAGGUUAAUACCCCGCUGUUCUGACGGUACCCAAAGAAUAAGCACCGGCUAACUUCGUG